rnacentral:rRNA from 1 species
UGCGGUUCUUGAGUGUGGUCAAGGCAGGCGGAAUGUGUAAUGUAGCGGUGAAAUGCUUAGAGAUUACACAGAACACCGAUUGCGAAGGCAGCUUGCUGGGCCAUUACUGACGCUCAUGCACGAAAGCGUGGGGAUCAAACAGGAUUAGAUACCCUGGUAGCCCACGCUGUAAACGAUGAUCACUAGCUGUUGGCGAUAUACAGUCAGUGGCAAAGCGAAAGCAUUAAGUGAUCCACCUGGGGAGUACGGCCGCAAGGUUGAAACUCAAAGGAAUUGACGGGGGCCCGCACAAGCGGAGGAACAUGUGGUUUAAUUCGAUGAUACGCGAGGAACCUUACCUGGGCUUAAAUGCAGAGUGCAUUGGUGUGAAAGCAUCAUUUUCUUCGGAACUUUCUGCAAGGUGCUGCAUGGUUGUCGUCAGCUCGUGCCGUGAGGUGUCGGGUUAAGUCCCAUAACGAGCGCAACCCUUAUCGUUAGUUGCCAGCGGGUAAAGCCGGGGACUCUAACGAAACUGCCGGUGUAAACCGAGAGGAAGGUGGGGAUGACGUCAAAUCAGCACGGCCCUUAUGUCCAGGGCUACACACGUGUUACAAUGGCCGGUACAGAGGGCAGCUACCUGGAGACAGGAUGCGAAUCUCGAAAGCCGGUCUCAGUUCGGAUCGGAGUCUGCAACCCGACUCCGUGAAGCUGGAUUCGCUAGUAAUCGCGCAUCAGCCAUGGCGCGGUGAAUACGUUCCCGGGCCUUGUACACACCGCCCGU